CUGUGUAAGCUGGUGGCCAAGUGGAGGACCUCCUACCUGUGACAAUGCCUAGACUUGCCAGAGUUCCUCGGGGUGCCUAAUUUCCAAAUUUGCUUUUCUAUGUGGGGGAAUCACAAUGACAAACAUGACAUGCCGUCCCAGGAGCUCUUCUGGGGACCUGGCUCAGAGCAUCCCCUUUAACCCUUGCAACAGUCCCAUGAGCCUGUCCCUGUUAUUCUAGCUGAGGAAACCGAGGCUCUGAGGAGGAAGUCAGUCUCCUGAGGUCACCGGGCUAGCAGGUGGGGAGCAGGAUUUGAGAUGGUGCUUCCCACCAAGAACAGGUGCGGCAGGCGCCCCUAGUCUAGACUGUGGUGACCAGGUGGCUCCAGCAGACCCCAUAUGUCCUGGGAAAGCCCACUGCCUCUGCCACCGCUGCUGAGAAUGGAACUUUGCUCAGGGGUGAUGAUGGGCCAGCUGGGCUGGGAUGGCAGCGGGGGUGCAGAUGCCUCAGGCAGUCGCCCCUGCUCCAACUCGUCGUUCCCUGUGGGACUGUGAGGUCAGUCCCCCUGACUCCUAAAAUAUGAACACUCGAUUGGUAUUUAAAAGCAGGAGGUCAGUAAACCGAUGGAUGGGAUUCAGGGCUGGGGUCACAGGUGGGGACUGCUGCCGUGGUCACAGUUGUUGGUUCCCAGGUCUGUCCUGCCCUGGAGGUGCUUAUUCACCUGUUGGUGAGGGACUCCUUGAGGCCCGAGACCCUGCUGGGGCUUCCCUGUGUUCUCCUCCUGGCACAGGGUGGAUGCCCAGGCCCCAGUGUUGGCCGAGUCUGUGCUCCCUGUUUCCACAGAGAGGAUCCUUUGCAGGGGUGAUGGAGACACCUCACUGUCCCCCAUCUCUGUCCACAGAAUCAGGGACUCCCAGUAAAGGAAAGUCCUACACGGGCCUGGGGAAGAAGUCCCGGUUGAUGAAGACAGUGCAGACCGUGAAGGGCCAUGGGAACUACCAGGACUGCCCUGUCCUGAGGCCGCAUGCCACGCACUCAAGCUACGGCACCUAUGUCACCCUGGCCCCCAAAGUCCUGGUGUUCCCCAUCUUUGUACAGGUGAGCUUGUCAGG
rnacentral:lncRNA from 1 species